rnacentral:rRNA from 1 species
GAGAAGUCGUAACAAAGGUUUCCGUAGGUGAACCUGCGGAAGGAUCAUUGUCGAAACCUGCCACGCAGUAUGACCCGCGAACAAGUUUAUCCACCGCGGAGGGUGCCCCGUGCUCCCGACGCGAGGCCCCGUGGGGUGCGACGCUCCCUACGGAGGCCGCCGAAACAAACCCCGGCGCGGAAAGCGCCAAGGAAAAUGAACGGACGAGAGAGAGCCCCCCAUUCACCCUGGAAACGGUGCGUGCCUGGGAUGCGCUCUCCUUUCAUAACCAAAAUGACUCUCGGCAACGGAUAUCUCGGCUCUCGCAUCGAUGAAGAACGUAGCGAAAUGCGAUACUUGGUGUGAAUUGCAGAAUCCCGUGAACCAUCGAGUCUUUGAACGCAAGUUGCGCCCAAAGCCUUCGGGCCGAGGGCACGUCUGCCUGGGUGUCACGCAACGUCGCUCCCCCAAUCCCCUGCUCUGGGGCUCUUGAGUGUGGAGCGGAGAAUGGCCUCCCGUGACCUUGUCGUCUGCGGUUGGCCCAAAAAUGAGUCCAAGUCGGCGGGUGCCGCGGCGUUCGGUGGUUGAAAAUACCCUUACGGGGCCGUU